rnacentral:rRNA from 2 species
GUGGUCCCACCUGACCCCAUGCCGAACUCAGAAGUGAAACGCUGUAGCGCCGAUGGUAGUGUGGGGUCUCCCCAUGCGAGAGUAGGGAACUGCCAGGC